CUCAAUUUCUCAUUCCAUUUAUUAAAUUUUUCUCUCUCCCUCUUUUGAUUUUUCUUUUGCCCUUCCUUUUUCUGCUUUUUCCCUCUCCUUUUAUCCAUUUUCCAAACCAUUCUCCCUUUUAUCAUCCCAUCAGACCACAAAUUUUUAAUUCUAAUUCCUUCCCCCCCCUGCUUAAAUAAUUGUUGUUCAUUUUGUCCUUCAAUGUUGGCUUCCUCUUUGUACAGUGAUAUCAAAUCCAC